rnacentral:rRNA from 1 species
UCAAGCUUACAAGAGCACAGGGCGGAUGCCCAGGCACCAUACGCCGAAGAAGGACGCGGUCAGCUGCGAAAAGCUGUGGGGAGCCGCAAGCAGGCAUUGAUCCACAGAUUUCCGAAUGGGGAAACCCGGCGGGAGUCAUGUCCCGUCACCCAUGACUGAAUCCAUAGGUCAUGAGGAGGGCACGCGGGGAACUGAAACAUCUAAGUACCCGCAGGAAAAGAAAGAAACAUCGAUUUCCUAAGUAGCGGCGAGCGAACGGGAAAGAGGCCAAACCAGAGAGCAUGCUCUCUGGGGUUGCGGGCCGGCAAGAUGUACGUGAAAGUCUAGUGGAAGCGCGUUGGAAAGCGCCGCCAGAGAGGGUGACAGCCCCGUAGACGAAAGGCGGACACGGCUAGCCGGUACCAGAGUACCGCAGGACACGAGGAAUCCGGCGGGAAGCCGGGGGGACCACCCCCCAAGCCUAAAUACGAUAUGGUGACCGAUAGCGCAUAGUACCGUGAGGGAAAGGUGAAAAGAACCCCGGGAGGGGAGUGAAAGAGAACCUGAAACCCUGUGUUUACAAGCAGAGGAAGCACGAUCUAGGUGCGACCUUGUACUUUUUGUAGAACGGACCGGCGAGUUGCGUUAUGUUGCGAGGUUAAGUACUGAAGGUACGGAGCCGAAGCGAAAGCGAGUCUGAAGAGGGCGGUAAGUAACAUGACGCAGACCCGAAACCGGGUGACCUAUCCAUGGCCAGGUUGAAGUGGGAGUACAAUCCCAUGGAGGACCGAACCAGACGUCUGUUGAAAAAGGCGGGGAUGAGCUGUGGAUAGCGGAGAAAUUCCAAUCGAACCCGGAGAUAGCUGGUUCUCCUCGAAAUAGCUUUAGGGCUAGCCUCGUAUUAGAUAACUGGAGGUAGAGCACUGAAUGGGCUAGGGGGCCCAAAGCUUACCGAACCCUAUCAAACUUCGAAUGCCAGGAUAUUGAUGUACGGGAGUCAGUCCGCGAGAGAUAAGUUCCGCGGGCAAAAGGGGAACACCCCAGACCCACUGCUAAGGUCCCAAAGUGCGCGUUAAGUGGAGAAGGAUGUGUGAUUGCACAGACAACCAGGAUGUUGGCUCAGAAGCAGCCAUUCAUUCAAAGAGUGCGUAAUAGCUCACUGGUCGAGUGGUCAUGCGCCGAAGAUGUACCGGGGCUCAAACGCGCCACCGAAGCAUGGGAUUCGCGCAAGCGAGUGGUAGAGGAGCAUUGAAUCAGGGCAGAAGCUGGAGCGAGAGCACGAGUGGACUUGAUUCAAGAGAGAAUGCCGGUAUGAGUAGCGAGAGGCAAGCGAGAAACUUGCCCGUCGAAAGCCUAAGGUUUCCUGGGGAAGGUUCAUCCGCCCAGGGUAAGUCGGGACCUAAGCCGAGGACGGAAGUCGUAGGCGAUGGACAGCAGGUUGAGAUUCCUGCACCGCCUUGAGAAUGAUGCAAUGACACAGAAGGAUAGCAUGAGCCGGGUGAUGGUCAACUCGGUUUCCACCGCGAGGGCGUCUGGUAGUGAAGUACGCCAGACACACAGCCUGAGCCGAAGAGGGAGCGAAAUUGAAGUAGCGAAGCAUGCGAUUUCACGCUGGCGAGAAAAGUUGCUGGUAUAUCGAAGAGGCGCCCGUACCGCAAACCGACGCAGGUAGGCGAGGUGAGAAUCCUAAGACGAACGGGAGAACCCUUGUUAAGGAACUCGGCAAAAUGACCCCGUAACUUCGGGAGAAGGGGUGCCGAUGGAAACAUCGGUCGCAGAGAAAAGGCUCAAGCGACUGUUUAGCAAAAACACAGGUAUCUGCGAAAGCGAGAGCUGACGUAUAGGUGCUGACACCUGCCCGGUGCUGGAAGGUUAAGGGGAAAUGUCAUCGCAAGAGAAGCAUAGAACCGAAGCCCCAGUAAACGGCGGCCGUAACUAUAACGGUCCUAAGGUAGCGAAAUUCCUUGUCGGGUAAGUUCCGACCCGCACGAA